GUGGUUUUAGCUCAGUUGGUUAGAGCGCCUGAUUGUGGUUCAGGAGGUCAUGGGUUCGAGACCCAUAUCCCACC
rnacentral:tRNA from 1 species